rnacentral:rRNA from 1 species
GAUGAACGCUGGCGGCGUGCCUAAUACAUGCAAGUCGAGCGAACAGACGAGGAGCUUGCUCCUCUGACGUUAGCGGCGGACGGGUGAGUAACACGUGGAUAACCUACCUAUAAGACUGGGAUAACUUCGGGAAACCGGAGCUAAUACCGGAUAAUAUAUUGAACCGCAUGGUUCAAUAGUGAAAGACGGUUUUGCUGUCACUUAUAGAUGGAUCCGCGCCGCAUUAGCUAGUUGGUAAGGUAACGGCUUACCAAGGCGACGAUGCAUAGCCGACCUGAGAGGGUGAUCGGCCACACUGGAACUGAGACACGGUCCAGACUCCUACGGGAGGCAGCAGUAGGGAAUCUUCCGCAAUGGGCGAAAGCCUGACGGAGCAACGCCGCGUGAGUGAUGAAGGUCUUCGGAUCGUAAAACUCUGUUAUUAGGGAAGAACAAAUGUGUAAGUAACUAUGCACGUCUUGACGGUACCUAAUCAGAAAGCCACGGCUAACUACGU